UGAUACUCAUAGCGUAGUAGUUCCACUCCGAUCCCAUCCCGAACUCGGUUGUUAAAUGCUACAGCGGCGAUGAUACUGAAAAGGAAGCUUUUUGGGAAAGCAGCUCAGUAUCAAGG
rnacentral:rRNA from 1 species